rnacentral:tRNA from 1 species
CGGCCAGUGGCGAAGCGAUCUAACGCGUCUCCGUAUCAAGGAGACAUACGCGGGUUUGAAUCCCGUCUUUUUGG